rnacentral:rRNA from 1 species
UGGGGAUUAUUGGACAAUGGGCGGAAGCCCGACCCAGCCAUGCUGCGUGUGUGAAGAAGGUCUUUUGGUUGUAAAGUACUUUAAGCGAGGAGGAGGCUCUUCUAGUUAAUACCUAGGAUGAGUGGACGUUACUCGCAGAAUAAGCACCGGCUAACUCUGUGCCAGCAGCCGCGGUAAUACAGAGGGUGCGAGCGUUAAUCGGAAUUACUGGGCGUAAAGCGCGCGUAGGUGGUUCGUUAAGUUGAAUGUGAAAGCCCCGGGCUCAACCUGGGAACUGCAUCCAAUGCUGGCGAGCUAGGAGACGGCAGAGGGUGGUUGAAAUUCCUAUGUAGCAGUGAAAUGCGUAGAUAUAGGAAGGCACGCCAGUCGCGAAGGCGACCACCUAGGAUCAUACUGACACUGAAGUGCGAAAGCGUGGGGAGCAAACAGG